rnacentral:rRNA from 1 species
AGAGCGAACGCUGGCGGCAGGCUUAACACAUGCAAGUCGAGCGGGCGUAGCAAUACGUCAGCGGCAGACGGGUGAGUAACGCGUGGGAACAUACCUUUUGGUUCGGAACAACACAGGGAAACUUGUGCUAAUACCGGAUAAGCCCUUACGGGGAAAGAUUUAUCGCCGAAAGAUUGGCCCGCGUCUGAUUAGCUAGUUGGUGAGGUAACGGCUCACCAAGGCGACGAUCGGUAGCUGGUCUGAGAGGAUGACCAGCCUCACUGGGACUGAGACACGGCCCAGACUCCUACGGGAGGCAGCAGUGGGGAAUAUUGGACAAUGGGCGCAAGCCUGAUCCAGCCAUGCCGCGUGGAUGAUGAAGGCCUUAGGGUUGUAAAGUCCUUUUAACGGGGAAGAUAAUGACGGUACCCGUAGAAUAAGCCCGGCUAACUUCGUGCCAGCAGCCGC